rnacentral:lncRNA from 1 species
CUCAAAUGUAAGGUUUUUUAUGACCUUUUUUUUACAAUUAAGCUUCUUUGUUAGUGAUUUUUUUGUUUAUUUAAUAUUCUUUUUUAUCAAUAAUUAAGAAAUUCAUCAAGACUCAAGCUUUAUUGAUUGUUUAAAGCUUCUUCAAACUUGUUUGUUUCUUCAUUCAAAAGGCAUGUGUUAAUUUUGAUUUUCAUAUAUAAAUAUAUAUAAGUUGUGGAUUGUUGAUAUAUUU